UCUCAAGUUAAUAAAAACAAUGGUGUUCUACGGGAUUACAGGAGAGAGGAAUAUGAUAAGGAGUAAUAGAACAACCAACUAUGAGAAGGGGAGAUUGAGGGAUCCCGUAGGAGAGAGAAAAGAAAUGGGGAACAUGGUUGCAUUGAUUUUGUGGGAGCUGGCUAGCUGGGCAGCACGAGGAAGGAGGGCUUCCUACGGACAGUUGGAGGAAAGAGCAAUGGAAUAAUAAGGAAAAAAAUGGAUUUUUUGGAUAAAUUAGAAAGUGACACGUGUACAGGUAACCUUCUAUAGUAGGUGUAUUACCUGUUGGGACCAACAAAAGAAAAUGGGUAUAAAAGUUCGGAUUAUUAAAUAAUAUUUCAUAUGUAGGCUUAAUUAAAGAAAAUCGGUCAAAGGUUGGAUUAAUAUUACCAAAUUUUCCUUAAAUCAAUGAAAGAAAGAAAGUUAGAUGAGUAAAAUCGGUCUUCCAAGUCUAAGAAGAGGCGACACUCGGAGUUAAGAAGGGCUGAAGGGGAUCAUCGCUUUCUCAUCUUCUUUGGUUGUUAUUUAAGAAAUGACCUUAUAAAUUUGGUGCUUUAAUUCGUUGAUGUAGAGAAUACGUAUAUAAAGAACAAAAAUGUUACGGACUAAUAAUUUAUGAGAUGGGGUAGGGAAAGGUAGAUAUAUGCAUUAAGAGAGAAGAGCAGUGACAGUUAGGUGUUAGGUUGAGUUGGUGGUUUGGGGCAUGACAUUAAUUUGAUACAUUCAUUGUUGCCUUUAUUUAAAAACUAACACCUAAAACCUAUUGUGCGUGACAUUAAUUUGAUACGGAGUAUCGGGUCGUUUUUAGAUCGAAGUUCUUUUCGCGUGUUGUUGGCCUAGCUAGUUCUUAGGUUGUCUAGUUUGGAUAACCAGAAAAAUCAAUCGAAGUUUGUUCUUCGUGAUUGAAGGUCGGGUCGAGAUCUCAACGUGGGUGUUGUUUCCAUCCCUGCUCUAGCUAAUCGCCGCCGUCGAUGUUCGUUGGUAAAGGUAACUUUUAAGGUUAGGGUUUUAGUUAGAACCGGAAUCACUGGUUUUGUGCGCUUGGAAGAUGAAGAAAUCAAUCAUGCCGCUCAUUUUACUCAUAUUGGUCAUAUUGUCAUACAAUAUUGGCAGGGCAGCACCCAAUCUGAUGAUCUCUGGUUUUGUCAUUUUAUUAUGGCCAUCUGAUCUUGGUGCUGCUAAUGAACUUCUUGGUGCCAACCAACUGCUGUCUCCACAAGCUCAUGUCACACCAGUUCAAUUUGUUGCUCUUUGUCUCUUGGGCCUAAGGCAAGCUAAGCAACUGACAUUUUUCAUGCAUUUUUAGAUUUUGAUGUAAAGUGUAAACACAAAAUUACUGAUAGUAUACACAGUUGGUUCAACGAGAACACUAAAUUUGUAAGAAUGAUUAUUUUUAUUGUGACGAAGCCCACGAAGGUCAUAUCUUAUGUAAGCAGGGCAAUGCCUUGUAGUACAAGAGUGAUUGUAAAUGUUCAUUGCAAGGGUAUUAUUAUUCAGAGUAUUUGUAAAGCUACUAUGCAAAUUAAUCAGCUUUUUAUGGAAUAUAAUCCCUGUUUAUUGCUGGAAA